GAGUUUGAUCGUGGCUCAGAUUGAACGCUGGCGGUAUGCUUAACACAUGCAAGUCGAACGGUAACAGGAGAGAGCUUUGCUCUUUUGCUGACGAGUGGCGGACGGGUGAGUAAUGCGUAGGAAUCUGCCUAGUAGUGGGGGACAACGUGUGGAAACGCACGCUAAUACCGCAUACGCCCUACGGGGAAAGCGGGGAGUCUUCGGACCUCGCGCUAUUAGAUGAGCCUACGUUAGAUUAGCUAGUUGGUGGGUAAAGGCCUACCAAGGCGACGAUCUAUUAGCUGGUCUGAGGAGAUGA
rnacentral:rRNA from 1 species